UACCAGACUCCUACGGGAGGCAGCAGUGGGGAAUAUUGCACAAUGGGGGAAACCCUGAUGCAGCGACGCCGCGUGAGUGAAGAAGUAUUUCGGUACUUAAAGCUCUAUCAGCAGGGAAGAAAGAAAGUCCUUUGGACUUUGGACGGUACCUGACCAAGAAGCUCCGGCUAACUACGUGCCAGCAGCCGCGGUAAUACGUAGGGGGCAAGCGUUAUCCGGAUUUACUGGGUGUAAAGGGAGCGUAGACGGCAGCGCAAGUCUGGAGUGAAAUGCCGGGGCCCAACCCCGGAACUGCUCUGGAAACUGUGCGGCUAGAGUACUGGAGGGGCAGGCGGAAUUCCUAGUGUAGCGGUGAAAUGCGUAGAUAUUAGGAGGAACACCAGUGGCGAAGGCGGCCUGCUGGACAGUAACUGACGUUGAGGCUCGAAAGCGUGGGGAGCAAACAGGAUUAGAUACCCCAGUA
rnacentral:rRNA from 1 species